AGGAAAUAAGUGUGAUGUAUAAAUAGCCCAACCCAAGCAAAGUAGUAGCCCAAAAUGGCCCAACUAAUUGCCGUAGGUAGAAGCGGUACCGUCGAGGCAAAAAAGAAGUGAGAAGAAGAGAGUCGUGACCAUGAUGCAGUCAAGAGAACCAUGACCAUUUUCAUUCUCUUUUUCGAUUUUUGUUUCGAUUGUAAAAUUAUACACAAUGGAUCAGUAGUAGGACCAAGCGAUCCAUCAAAGUGCUCCAAGAGGUACAAAGGGUGUCCAAAGAUCUUUCCAGAACUGGCAAGCACGACCGUGAUGAAUAGCUACAUAUGAUAUGGGACGCUCAUUUAAUAUAGAUCUUUUGUUCUUCAGGGAGUAGAAGAAGAAUCCCACAUAGAUGAUGAAAGUGGGAAUCGAGGUACUAAAAGCAAAGUUAGGCAAAGUGAAUCCCACCAGCCACACUAAUUCUACUAAUUAGAUAAAGUGAAGAGAGAUGCCCGAUGGAGAAAAGGUGGCCUGCGUUACCAGAGCUUCCGGUUACAUAGUGUCUUGAAUGUCAAGCUUUUACUCCUCCGUGGCUACAACGUCAAUGCCACCAUUCAAGUCCCAAGUUUGGUCCUAUAUGAAAUUACUAAGAAUGCAGAAACAUCAAAGAAAACAAAGGUGAGUAUAAUGGUUUAAAAGUAUGCUGUGGUUUUUGGUGUUUGGUGAUGUUUAUUAGCGUUUAGGUGUAGAUUAUUUAUAGGCUCAACAUUAGGUCGAUAUCCGUAGCUUAUCACGCAAAACAAAAAUCCUAAAUAGCAACUAAUUAAGGAUAAAAUCUUUCAAAUCUACAGUAAUAUGGAAUAUGCCAAGAAUAUGGUAAUUUAUGAGUCAUAAUUUUUUUUAUCUUAAAUCGAUUUUGUAGAGAUAUUAGAGAUAUGAUGAGUGAUUAGUUGCAAGAAUAUAUACUGGAAUCUUGCUUUUGGAAAGAAAACGUAUAGAUUUGUAAACAAUGCAUCAUUAGUUUGUUUAUGAAAUUGUAUUGUUAGAGAUCUUGUUGAUUUGAAAUAUCCAAAAUGAUUUGUUGGUAGUAAUUAAAUUGAUUUGUAAGGGAUUGUAAAUUAUAGAAAGUAUUCAACGACAAUUAAUGGAGAUAUUUGAGGGAAUGGUUGUUAUUUCCUAAAUCUUUUAGUUGAUAUUUAAAAAGUAA